AACUCCUGGUGGAUCACAGGGGUUUACGGACAGCGGGAAGAUGAUGAGAAGGUUGCCUUUCUCAAUGAGUUGAGCAUUUGUCGUGCCAUGUGUCCAGGGCAGUGGAUGGUGUUGGGUGACUUCAACAUGAUUCUGCAGGCUAGCGAGAAGAGCAACGACAAUCUUAGCAGAAACAUCAUGAACAGGUUCAGGCGCUUUGUGGAUGACAAUGAGCUAAAGAUGCACAUGCACGGGCGUAGAUUCACCUGGUCGAACGAGCGGAAUAAUCCAACUAUGACCAAGAUCGACCGCAUUCUUGUUUCCGUGGUUUGGGAGCUGGCUUAUCCCGACUGCCUCUUGCAACCGCUCUCAUCUCGGGUCUCGGAUCACGCACCGCUCCACCUAUCCUUG
rnacentral:rRNA from 1 species